GUGGGGAAUAUUGCGCAAUGGGGGAAACCCUGACGCAGCGACGCCGUGUGAGGGAAGAAGGCUUUCGGGUCGUAAACCUCUGUCAGAAAGGAAGAACCUCCCAAGUCCGAAUAGGGCUUGGGACUGACGGUACUUUCAAAGGAAGCACCGGCUAACUCCGUGCCAGCAGCCGCGGUAAUACGGAGGGUGCAAGCGUUAAUCGGAAUCACUGGGCGUAAAGCGCGCGUAGGGCGCUUUGUAAGUCGGACGUGAAAGCCCUCGGCUCAACCGGGGAACUGCGUUCGAUACUGCGAGGCUUGAGUCCUGGAGAGGGUGGCGGAAUUCCGGGUGUAGGAGUGAAAUCCGUAGAUAUCCGGAGGAACACCGGUGGCGAAGGCGGCCACCUGGACAGGUACUGACGCUGAGGCGCGAAAGCGUGGGGAGCAAACAGGAUUAGAAACCCUGGUAGUCC
rnacentral:rRNA from 1 species